rnacentral:misc_RNA from 1 species
AAGUCGUAACAAGGUUUCCGUAGGUGAACCUGCGGAAGGAUCAUUAAUGAAUAAACUCGGUGGAUUGUUGCUGGCUCUUAGGAGUAUGUGCACAUCUGCCAUUGUUUCAUUCUUUCUCCACCUGUGCACCUUUUGUAGACUUGGAAUAACUCUCAAGGACUGAAUUACCAUUCACUUCUUGGAUUUGGGGAUUGGUUUCAAGUAAACCUGUCCUCUGCAUUUCCAGUCUAUGUUUUUAUAUAUCUACACCCCAUUAGUAUGUUUUAGAAUGUUUAUUAUUUGGCCUUUCUUUUGAUAGGCUUUAAAACUUAUACAACUUUCAACAACGGAUCUCUUGGCUCUC